UUUGUGAACUCUUUUCAUCUGUUGGAUACAAUUUUAGAGUCGAAUUAUUCUUUGUAUCAGCCUACUGUACGCAUCAACCAUAACACACCUGACGUGUGGACCGGGUUCACUAACCAGUGGACCGAUUUUCCCGGUUUUUGGUUUCGCAUUCGACAGAUGAUGAAUUCGACCCCCAAAUUCGAAUUCCACGUUCCCCUUCCCGAACCAGUCUUCUUCGUUCCCCCUCCCAAACUUCGUCUUCGAAUCGAACUUCUCCCUCGAAGCCAAGCAACCAUUGACCUCAGCCCUCCCACCACGACCUCAGCCCUCCCAAGGAGAUCAGUCCCCAAGCCUUCGGUCCCUAAGUCCACCAACCUGAAGCCCUAAGUCCAUUUGACAUGAAAGGAGCCCUCGGUCCACCGACGGAAGCCGCCCUCAGUCCGACGCGAGCCCGCCCUCAGUCCAUUGACGCGAAGCCCUCAAAUCUGCAAGAGGGAAAAUAAUCUGUGAUUCUAGGGACUGCAAAUGCUUCAAACAGAAUAAACAGGAAGAAUUUAGAUCCCACCAUCCAGCUUAUAAGUUCAAGCUCCUUCAUCACAUACUGAAAUUCUUAGGUGCUUUUCAUGUGAGACUAUAAUUCAUCGAAUGAUGGGAGUAUUGCGUGGUGGAUAUUCUGAGAGCUUUGUGAAGUGGCUCUUUCAUGGGGAGGCAUUGUUCCUUAGAAGUUGACUGAAGAGUCACUCUUCCUUAGAAGACUGAAAAAGAUUAGAGCCCCACAGCGUUUAUUCGCGCAUCUUUUAAUUAAUCUAUACAGAGCGCGAGUAAAUUGUUUCUUUUUUUUUUUCUUCCAAUCUUUGGCAAGUGAAAGUUCUUUACAUGUAAGGUUCAAUUGAAAGCUGACAACUUGACGGGUAUUUGUUGAAUUCAGAAUUAUUUGGCAUUCUCUGAUGUCUAUAAUUAAAACUUGCUUACAUAAGAUUAUGAGAUUCCAUUCAUAAUCUCAAUCUGUAAGAUUAUGUUUGAGGACCACCGUUAGCAUUCAGAGGAAUAUCUUUUAACACAAAAUGCAAAUACUUUGACAAUAA